rnacentral:rRNA from 1 species
UACGGAGGGUGCAAGCGUUAUCCGGAUUCACUGGGUUUAAGGGGGCGGAGGCGGGCAGGGAAGUCAGUGGUGAAAUCUCCGAGCUUAACUCGGAAACUGCCGUUGAUACUAUUUGUCUUGAAUAUUGUGGAGGUAAGCGGAAUAUGUCAUGUAGCGGUGAAAUGCUUAGAUAUGACAUAGAACACCAAUUGCGAAGGCAGCUUACUACACAACGAUUGACGCUGAGGCACGAAAGCGUGGGGAUCAAACAGG